CCUACGGGGGGCUGCAGUCGAGAAUCUUCCGCAAUGGACGCAAGUCUGACGGAGCGACACCGCGUGAUGGAUGAAGUGCUUCGGUAUGUAAACAUCUUUUAUGAGGGAAGAAGUUUAUUGACGGUACCUCAUGAAUAAGGGCCUGCAAAAGUCGUGCCAGCAGCAGCGGUAAUAAGAGUGGCCCAAGCGUUAUCCGGAAUUAUUGGGCGUAAAGGAUGUGUAGGUGGUUGUAUUAGUCUUCGGUCUAACCUCUGUGCUCAACAUGGAGACAGCCGAAGAAACGGUACAGCUAGAGUAGAGUAGGGGUAAGCGGAACUCAUAGUGUAGGGGUGAAAUCCGUUGAUAUUAUGGGGAACACCAAAAGCGAAGGCAGCUUACUGGACUCUUACUGACACUGAAACAUGAAAGCGUGGGUAGCGAAUGGGAUUAGAUACCCGAGUAGUC
rnacentral:rRNA from 1 species